GAGUUCAGUCUUCCCAGGCCCACCACUUUCAUCGAGUGAGCAUUCGUCUUCUGGUUACGGGGCCAUAGCUCAGCUGGGAGAGCGCGUGCUUUGCAAGCAUGAGGUCGUCGGUUCGAUCCCGUCUGGCUCCACCAGAUGGUUUGAUCACCGAGAUCUUGACCGUCGUCCGCGAAACAUCACUUCGCAUCCUGCUAGUCUGGAUAGACAGCAGUUUGCGUGUUUUCUGACAUCGUAAAGAGGAGAUCGAUCCGAGUUGGGUCGUGCAGCAUAUCGUUGCGCGAGCCUUCAUUAUCUCCGGAUCAUUUCGGCGCUCGCUUCCAGCCGUGAGGUUGGAUGCGGGUUGUAAAUGAUCCUUUUAGCGAAGCUUGACCGCCUCGCUAUCGGAACGAUCUUACGAAGCAAGCUGGUCUUUCUAGUCAAUGUCCGGCUGCGGAUAGCGUUCAUCGAGGGCGCGUGCCGCAAGGCAAUUCUGCAGACAACAUUCUGCCGAGUGUGUGGACAUUGAUAAUGAGAGCAAUCAAGUGCCUUAAGGGUGUUCGGUGGAUGCCUUGGCGCUGAGAGGCGAUGAAGGACGUGCUACGCUGCGAUAAGCCGUGGGGAGCUGCGAAGAAGCUUUGAUCCGCGGAUUUCCGAAG
rnacentral:misc_RNA from 1 species